AGAAGGUAAACUGGUACAGUCCAAGGAUAUGCUUUGUAGCCCUGUCUUCUUUAAUUACUGCAGUGACAGUUCAGUGUUUCUGUUUGCCCACGUGCCUCCUAGGUCUUCAAGUCUGCUAUCAGAAUCUGUGGGAGAAAAGCAUUUCUAACAAUAAAGGCCUAAGGUCCAUUUCUCAGGCCCCAGUGAGAGCUGCUAAAAAUGGAUAUGAGAAGGAGAGAAAUUCAGCUGUUUGAAAUCCUAUGUAGCUGAAAGGAAUCUGUCUCUCCAGGGGACAUUACAGAGGGACAGCAGGAAAAAAUGAGAGAUGGUCCACGGAAACCUGGAGGGCUGGAUGGAUCAUUGCUACUCUGUUUUUUCAAGGGCCAGAUUUCAGGAAGGGGUUAAUGCCUGUCAACAGCCAGUUCCAGUGGAAAGCAUCACACAGCUAAGCAGUACCUUGUUCUGUAGGUCAGUACAGCUUCCUUUGUGGUGGUUAGUAUCUGUGUAGCAUUUUUCAUCCUCAAAAGAUUGAAAAC